rnacentral:lncRNA from 1 species
AGCCACUUGUCUAUUGUUUUUUUCUUUCAGAUCUGAGCUUCCACAACCAAUUUAGAGUCUGAAGUGCCUAGAUCAAAGACAAAGAAUAACUGGCCAUUUCUCUGUGCAGAUACCAGGUUAUGUGGAGAGAGGUGGCGAGUUGCUUAGUCAAGGCUGUCAGCUUGAUGCCAAUACAUUGUUCCUUGCAUUGAAUCGGUGCCUUGAGAUGAACGAUUAAGGAAGCAGGAGGUUGAAGGGGCAGUGGAAGGAUCUAAACAGGUCAGUUAUGGAAGGAUUCAGUAAAAGU